AGGACUGCAUCAUAUAAUUUGGACAAGAAUUUGAAGAAUAACAUAAAACUGAACUCAGUGGCAUGAAUGUCAAUAAUUGCUAAAGGUACAUGUUUAUGAACAAAGACGGUAUUCUUGAGGAGCUAUAAGCUUUUAUGCAGUUCAUGUCGGCCUCAUCUCAAGCUUCAUCAUGAAACAUGUACAUGCUUAAUUUGGUUCUAAUAACUCAGUAGGUGUAUCCUUUCACAAACAUUCCUUUCUUGGCCUCCUCAGACUCACCCUCACCGGUGUAUUUGCCAAGCUGUGCGAGAGAGUUGGCACUUGCUCUAGUAAGCAAAGCUUCCUGAGCUGC
rnacentral:lncRNA from 1 species